UACGUAGGAGGCGAGCGUUUGUCCGGAAUUACUGGGCGUAAAGAGCGCGUAGGCGGCGCGGUACGACCGGUGUGAAAGCCCCCGGCUCAACUGGGGAGGGACAUCGGUAACGGCCGUGCUGUGAGUGCAGGAGAGGGAAGUGGAACUCCGGGAGUAGCGGUGAAAUGCGUAGAUAUGCGGAGGAACACCGAUGGCGAAGGCAAUCCCCUGGGCCUGCACUGACGCUCAUGCACGAAAGCGUGGGGAGCAAACAGG
rnacentral:rRNA from 1 species